GUGGGGAAUUUUGGACAAUGGGCGAAAGCCUGAUCCAGCCAUGCCGCGUGUGUGAAGAAGGUCUUCGGAUUGUAAAGCACUUUAAGUUGGGAGGAAGGGCAGUAAGUUAAUACCUUGCUGUUUUGACGUUACCAACAGAAUAAGCACCGGCUAACUUCGUGCCAGCAGCCGCGGUAAUACGAAGGGUGCAAGCGUUAAUCGGAAUUACUGGGCGUAAAGCGCGCGUAGGUGGUUCAGCAAGUUGGAGGUGAAAUCCCCGGGCUCAACCUGGGAACUGCCUCCAAAACUACUGAGCUAGAGUACGGUAGAGGGUAGUGGAAUUUCCUGUGUAGCGGUGAAAUGCGUAGAUAUAGGAAGGAACACCAGUGGCGAAGGCGACUACCUGGACUGAUACUGACACUGAGGUGCGAAAGCGUGGGGAGCAAACAGGAUUAGAUACCCGGGUAGUCC
rnacentral:rRNA from 1 species